ACUUAAGUACUUAUCCUAUAUACAUAGCGCUAUACGCAUGCAGUACAAUGCGUAAUCAGCAGCUAUAUGCCUUUGUGUGUUCCCGUACGCUGCGCUGUACCGAACAAUAAUAAUAAUAACAAUAAUUACGAAUUCGUUCCGAAAGUGCGUCAAGUACAAAAACACACAAAAAAAAAAUUCCGCAUUCUUGUUUUAUCUUUAUAGUAAUUUAAACCCGAGUCUCUCGCUCGCCGACGUUUUUAUAGCAUAGGUACCCGACCUUAGUAGGUAAGUAAUACGAUAUUACGAUACGCCUACGUGCCAAUAAUGUAAAAACCGCAAUUUU